rnacentral:rRNA from 1 species
CAGCCGCCGCGGUAAUACCGGCGGCCCGAGUGGCGGCUACUAUUUUUGGGCCUAAAGCGUCCGUAGCCGGGCUGGUAAGUCCUCCGGGAAAUCUGGUCGCUUAACGAUCAGACUUCCGGAGGAUACUGCUGGCCUAGGGACCGGGAGAGGCCGAGGGGAUUCCCGGGGUAGGGGUGAAAUCCUGUAAUCCCGGGAGGACCACCUGUGGCGAAGGCGCUCGGCUGGAACGGGUCCGACGGUGAGGGACGAAGGCCAGGGGAGCGAACCGGAUUAGAUACCCGGGUAGUCCUGGCUGUAAACGAUGCGGGCUAGGUGUCGGGUGAGCUACGGGCUCACCCGGUGCCGGAGGGAAGCCGUGAAGCCCGCCACCUGGGGAGUACGGCCGCAAGGCUGAAACUUAAAGGAAUUGGCGGG